AGUUAACGUGGUAAGGAAAACAUUUUGAUUAAUAAUUCGCUAUUGUUUUGAUUAAUAAUUUGCAGCGUUGGUGUGAACGACGACGUAUGGAACAGACUACGUUACUAGAGAAAAAAAUCGCAGAUAAAAAAGUGCGAGAAUUUGGCAGUCUUGUUUCAUUUUGAGCAUGACUGGGAGACUGAAGAUUGGUUUGAUUGCUCGGUGAAUUGGUCAUUUCUGCUUCUGAUUGUCUAAGAUGGCCGACAGCCGGAUGUUCGACAAUGGGAAACAUGAGUGCUUCUUCAUAAGUCGGAGGAUUAUCAACGCUGGUUUCAGGUAAGAAAGGCUGUACUAUAUCCGAAUCGGUCGAUUCGUUGAACUGUGUUUGUAAAACACCCGCUGAGGCGUAACGACUUCUUCGUCUUUGUGACCAAAUUGUAUCUUUGUUGUUGGUUAGGUCAUCCAGUGAAACAUCGCGUACCGAUUGCGUUUCCGGUAUGAGGGCUUGGUGAUCGUCUAAGAGUAAAGCUUCCGAGUAGCUUGGAACCAAUGCUGAUGUUAUACGGUUCACGUCGUUGGUAGAUUCGUCCAGUGUUGCUAUUUCGGACCAGACUGGAGUUUCGUCGUUUUCGUCUACGCUGUAAGAACCGUACAGCUGCAGCAGGGCGAGAUGUUGAGCCGAAUCUGAUAAAUUAGUGUAGUUCGUACCGAAUAGUUUGGUGAUCUGGAAUGAUUCGUUACCAGAUUAUUAUAUCUUAAUAUUUGUGAGUUGCUAUAUCUAGGUACCUAUAUGUUGUAUACGAUGAUUUCAAGACUUACUUUAUAAUGUACAUGUGCUGUGUUAUAAGAAAGAACUAAUCGAUACGGCCACGACAGCAAGAAACACGAAUACAACCAGUAAUAAAACGGAUUAGCGAACCAGGGUCGUUCACCGGUCGUAUUCAACGCGACGAUUUCCUCUUCGAAAACUGGACAAUCGGUUAAAUCCAACCCUUCGUGGAUCUCCAUGUAAUCAUCGUAUCUUCGUAAUUCUCUAAAAAACAUCGAUCUCUGCUCUUCGAACUCUACCGCACUGGCCAUAUUAGCAAAUGCGAAUCCUGUAAUCAUAUUUCAAACGUUAGAUUUGUCGAAUUUUCAUUCAAGUAUGUAUCAACAACUCAUGCCUGUAUACCUUUACUAAAACGAAACUUUAUUAUUGGUCCGCUCGAUUGAUCCAGUAUCAAAUUAUUCGAUAUGUCUUUUACCCCGCAGCAUGAAAAAUUGAAGCUCGAACUGGAUGUAAAUGAGUUUACUCGCUCUUGAUAGACUUUCGUCGAAACGAAAUACGUGCCUCGUCUGUAUUGCGUCGUUCGACGUUUUCGCCUAGCAUAAUGGUAGCAAGUAGCCUUCCACCAGAUGACCGGAUCCGAGUUCUUCAUUUUGUUUAUUUUCUCCUUAAUUUGUUCGAUGUUGGUUAUGUUCUGAGUGCAGAGUUGGAUUUUAUCGGUUGCAUAACUGCAUUCCAUCAAGUACAACGAGUAUAAUAUGAUCGAACAGCAGAUCAACAUCCAACGCAUGUUUUUAUUCGAACUGUUUUCUUGGUUUAUUGCCACCUGCGGAAAUAAAUCAAAGAAUUUUGGAAUCGAUGGGUUGUCUAGGCUGAGGCUGUGUACGUUUUAGAAGAGAUAGGUUGAAAAGUAAAAUUAUUUGCUGGAUUUUAAAGCUCCAUUUCGACUUGGAAGUAGGAGUAUUGGAGUUUUAUGAGAAUAUAGAUAGAUGAAUUUUUCCACCAGUUGACGUCAUAAAAAUUAUAGUAUUUUUACCUGAUUCGAUAUCUGACGAUGACAUAACAGGACGGAUAAAAGGCAGGAGAAUAUUAAACACGUUAGAAGAACACAUUUCCAGUUCUGUUUCCAUUGGCUUAUCGAGCAUAUACUCAGCGUUUCCGGAUACUGAUCCUCCUGUGAAACAUGGAAACCCAAUGAAAAAAAAUCCACACAAUUGCUGAGCCCAAAAUGAUCCGUCAAAUGUUCACGUGCUUGGAAAAUUAUCGUUAACGUUGCGUUGUUAUAUUUCGGUGCAGAAAAACUCAUAGUACGAGAUACGAACGAAGAAAUACCAUAAUAUAAAAUCGAU